rnacentral:rRNA from 1 species
GAUCAUGGCUCAGGAUGAACGCUGGCGGUGUGCCUAAUACAUGCAAGUCGAUCGGGCGUAGCAAUACGUCAGAGGCGUACGGGUGAGUAACACGUAGGUAACCUACCUUUAAGACUGGGAUACCCAGACGAAAGUUUGGCUAAUACCGGAUAACAACAUUUGAGACAUCUCUUAUGUUUGAAAGGCGCUGCAAGGCGCCACUUUUAGAUGGACCUGCGUCGCAUUAGCUAGUUGGUGAGAUAAAAGCCCACCAAGGCUGGGAUGCGUAGCCGAUCUGAGAGGAUGACCGGCCACAAUGGGACUGAGACACGGCCCAUACUCCUACGGGAGGCAGCAGUAGGGAGUUUUCGGCAAUGGGGGAAACCCUGACCGAGCAACACCGCGUGAGUGAUGAAGGUCUUCGGAUCGUAAAGCUCUGUUACGAGGGACGAAUGAUCGCUUUAGGAAAUGAGAGCGGUUUGACGGUACCUCGCCAGAAAGCGACGGCUAACUACGUGCCAGCCGCGGC